rnacentral:lncRNA from 1 species
AAUUCAUGAUCAAGUCUAAUUCCCUUCGGAUAUAUACGAAAAUCUACUCCUUUCUCUUGAGGUGACCACCUUCUGUUCCCCUCAUGUGUGUGCACUUAUUCUCUUCAUGAUUUCACCCCCAUCCCCUCUCUUAGUUUUUAAUUAGUUUCUUUUUCAUCUUUUGAUUUUCUUCUACAAUUUUAUGACUCUUUCAGCUUUAUUUUUGGCGACGCUAUAAUAUGAUUAGUAUGUUAAAAGGAAAAAAAAAGAAAAGGAAAGUGAAAGUGAAAGUGAAAAACAACAACAACAAAAAAAGAAAAGAAAAAGGAAACUGCGUUCACGUGAAUAAAAAGGAAAAAGAAAUCCAAGAUGUAGCCUACAAAGCGUAAUUUGGAACAUAGGAUUGAAUAUUAAAAUUAAUUAAGUUGCAAAUAACACCAAUGAGCAGCUUUAUUAUCUGUAUCUUCUCAAGUUGUCAGAUCGUC